CAAGAAGGGAUUUUUUGUGGCUCAGCCAGAUGUGCUCCUGCCUCCCGCUGAGACGGAGCUGAGUUUGCAUUCCAAUGUCUUGGAACAAGGUUCAUGGGAAGUUUUCUCAGCUCUCUAAGGCACGGAGCCCUGGAGCCAAGUAAGCCUGAGCUGCGGCAUGCUUGCUGUGAGCCUUGAGGGCAGGACAGCGUUCAGACUGAAAGUGUAAGAAGAUGUGGAGUGAGACAGAGAAUCUGACAGGAGCACUGGACUCACAAGUGCACGAAUUUUGCUUUUUGCUUGGAUUUAAACUCAGAAGUUGUAAAGAAUUUGGGAAGGAGAAGGGACAUUUCAGAAGGAGAAGAAGAAAAAGAAGUUGUUGUUGUUACAGCCCGGCAAAAUCUUUGGUUCUAGCUAAUAAAGGAAGUUAGUUGAAAUAAAAAAAAGAAAAAAACGUGGGUUUUUUUCCUUCACUGUUCUA